rnacentral:rRNA from 1 species
AUUAGCUAGUUGGUAAGGUAAUGGCUUACCAAGGCUACGAUCUGUAUCCGGUCUAAGAGGACGGUCGGACACACUGACACUGAAUAACGGGUCAGACUCCUACGGGAGGCAGCAGUCGGGAAUUUUGGGCAAUGGGGGAAACCCUGACCCAGCAACGCCGCGUGAAGGAUGAAGUUUUUCGGAAUGUAAACUUCGAAAGAAUAGGAAGAAUUAAUGACGGUACUAUUUAUAAGGUCCGGCUAACUACGUGCCAGCAGCCGCGGUAAUACGUAGGGACCAAGCGUUGUUCGGAUUUACUGGGCGUAAAGGGCGCGUAGGCGGCGUGGUAAGUCACUUGUGAAAUCUCUGAGCUUAACUCAGAACGGCCAAGUGAUACUGCUGUGCUAGAGUGCAGAAGGGGCAAUCGGAAUUCUUGGUGUAGCGGUGAAAUGCGUAGAUAUCAAGAGGAACACCUGAGGUGAAGACGGGUUGCUGGGCUGACACUGACGCUGAGGCGCGAAAGCCAGGGGAGCAAACGGGAUUAGAUACCCCGGUAGUCCUGGCCCU